AUUGAACGCUGGCGGCAGGCCUAACACAUGCACGUCGAACGAGUGGCGGAAGGGUGAGUAAUGUCUGGGAAACUGCCCGAUGGAGGUGGAUAACUACUGGAAACGGUAGCUAAUACCGCCUACCAUCGGAUGUGCCCAGAUUGGAGUAGCGAGUAGGUGGGGUAACGGCUCACCUAGGCGACGAUCCCUAGCUGGUCUCAGAGGAGAACCAGCCACACUGGAACUGAGAACCGGUCCAGACUCCUACGGGAGGCAGCAGUGGGGAAUAUUGCACAAGGGGCGCAAGCCUGCUGCAGCCAUGCAGCGUGUAUGAAGUAGGCCUUCGGGUUGUAAAGUACUUUCAUCGAGGAGGCGUUACUCGCAGAAGAAGCACCGGUUAACUCCGUGCCAGCAGCCGCGGUAAUAC
rnacentral:rRNA from 1 species